rnacentral:rRNA from 1 species
AGAGUUUGAUCCUGGCUCAGGAUGAAUGCUGGCGGCGUGCUUUACGCAUGCAAGUCGAACGAUCCGGCGCAAGCCGGAUAGUGGCAGACGGGUGAGUAACGCGUAGGAAUCUACCUCUUAGAGGGGAAUAGCCAUCCGAAAGGGUGGGUAAUACCCCAUAGUCCCGAAAGGGUAAAGGACUUAACGGUCCGCUAGGAGAGGAGCCUGCGUCCUAUCAGCUAGUUGGCGGGGUAAAUGCCCACCAAGGCGAUGACGGGUAGCUGGACUGAGAGGUCGGUCAGCCACAACUGCACUGAGACACGGGCAGUACACCUACGGGUGGCAGCAACGGGGAAUCUUGCGCAAUGGACGAAAGUCUGACGCAGCGACGCCGCGUGGAGGAAGACGGCCCACGGGUUGUAAACUCCUUCUGCCAAGCCGUUCACAGCUUGGCGAAUAAGCCUCUACUAACUACGUGCCAGAAGUCUCGGUAAUACGUAGGAGGCAAGCAUUAUCCGGAUUCAUUGGGCGUAAAGUGUGCGUAGGCUUUUUUCCAAGUCUUUGUUGAAAGCUCGGGGCUCAACCCCGAAUUUGGCAGAGAUACUGGAUAAAUAGAGGAUUGGCAGGGAUGCUGGAACAGUAGGUGUAGCAGUGAAAUGCGUUGAUAUCUACUGGAACACCAAAGGCGAAGGCAGGCAUCUGGGCUUUUCCUGACGCUGAGGCACGAAAGCUAGGGUAGCGAAACAGAUUAGAUACCUGUGUAGUCCUAGCCGUAAACGAUGUCCGCUAGCUGUGACCGCAAGGUCGCGGCGUAAGCCAACGCGUUAAGCGGACCGCCUGGGGAGUACGGCCGCAAGGCUAAAACUCAAAGGAAUUGACGGGGACCCGCACAACCGGUGGAGCGUGUGGUUCAAUUCGAGACAAAGCGAAGCACCUUACCAGGGCUUGACAUGGUACCGUUUUAUACCUUUGGAAACAAGGGUAGAUCCGUAAGGAUGGUAUCACAGGUGUUGCAUGGCUGUCGUCAGCUCGUGCCGUGAGGUGUUCCCUUAAGUGGGGAAACGAGCGCAACCCCCGUCCAAUGUUACAUAUUCAUUGGAAACUGCUCCUGUUUUGCAGGGGAGGAAGGAGGGGAAGACGUCAAGUCCGCACGGCCCUUAUGCCCUGGGUUACACACACCCUACAAUGGCGAAAAACAACGAGUCGCAAGCUAGCGAUAGCAAGCUAAUCUCUGAAAUUUCGCCUCAGUUCAGAUUGGAGUCUGCAACUCGACUCCAUGAAGUCGGAAUCGGUAGUAAUCGCGGAUCAGCAGGCCGCGGUGAAUACGUUCUCGGGUCUUGUACACACCGCCCGUCAAGGCAGCAAAGUUGGGGGCAGCUGAAGCAUUCCUUUUAGGAGUUCGAGGCUGAAUCCAGCGAUGAGGCUUAAGUCGUAACAAGGUAACC